AUGUUGAUUAAUCACGAAGAACAGAUAGCAAAAAUGAAUGAUCCAGAAUUGCAAGGUCUUGAUUAUGCAGAAACAACUGAUACAGAUGGCACAAGUGGGAGUGACGAGUCAGAGUUUGAAACGGAGCAACAAGAAUAUGAAGAAGCACAUAUGAACAACUCUAAUCUUGACAGCAGUGAUGAGUUGCCAGAUUCAGACCAACAAGAUGAGAGCAUGCAUGAAUCAGGCAACCAAGACAUUGAGCACCAACAGGAUGAGGCCAAGAAUAAAUCAAACAAAGAUAAGAAAAAUUAUCUCAAGAAGAUAUUGAAUUUUUUCUUGAGAAUGAGGUCAUAG
rnacentral:rRNA from 1 species